CCGGAGGUGGCAGAGUGGUUAAAUGCUCCAGACUGUAAAUCUGGCGGGGUAACCCUACGAAGGUUCGAUCCCUUCCCUCCGGA
rfam:Candidatus Daviesbacteria bacterium RIFCSPHIGHO2_02_FTLL_41_10 rifcsphigho2_02_scaffold_747, whole genome shotgun sequence.